CUUUAAACCUCCUACCACUCACCAACGCCCCUCCACCAUGCGGUGUGGUGCAGAGAGAGAGAGAAGCACAUAUUCAAUGGGUAACAUGCAAUAAUGCAUAAACACAUAUAACUCUAUCUAUAUAUACGAGUAUAUAUUUGGAUUUGGUGGAUUAUGUUUUAGAAUCCAAUACUGAGAGAAACAGUACAAGAAAACAAAUGAAUAUGGUGCUAUUCAUUUCUUUUCUUCAACUUGUGAAUGCUGCAGCAAAUGGAGGAAGAAAUCAUUGGGCUUUUGCUUGUUUCUGGUCACAAUUAGUUCCCAUUUUCUAGCUAUCUCAAGACGAAGCUUACUAUUUUAGGAGCCUCUCAAGAAGAUGAUAGCUUCCCGACUCAAAGUUUUGGAAGAGGCAGACAGAACGGGGCCAGGCAAUACUUUUCUUAAUCUAAUUUCUCAGCUUACUUUUUCCUUUUAGAUUUGUAUGGAUUUCUAAAUUGAGAUGUUCAAAAGCCACAGUGUUUUUAAUUUGAAGAACAAGAAAAAUUCAAUGAAAUUCUUGAUCUGAUCAGUAAUUAUCUACCUUGGAAAGGUGUAAAGUUGUUAAGAGAUAUCAAGAUUCUGAACUUUUCUGCAUUUUAUGCGGUUUUUCAGUAUGGAAAACCUAUAAGCUGACGUUACAAACAUGGAUGGGUUCUCAUUUUCCUGUUCAUAUUCAUUAUUUCCUUAUAUGUCAGUCUAUACACGAACUUUUUCUACAAACUUCAGGCCGGCACAGGCUGCUUUGUCUUUCUGGAUUAGGUUUUCCAAAACUUUAAGCUAAUGUUAGUCCCGCACUCUAAAAUUCAUUUUUCUUCUAACUCUUUU
rnacentral:lncRNA from 1 species